GAGAAUCAGGUCUCCAAAAGAGUGUUUGCCCAGCAGGUUGUCACUAAGGUUAUUUAUCUGCAGUUGCUUCUGCAAUAGAGUCACUAGAAGUUUAGAAAAGUAACUGUUAAAUGAAAUUCCAGCUCCCAUGUUCCUUUACCUCUUAGCACUACCACAAAAAAAAAUAUAAUGGUGCAACACAAAGCUUGUGGAUGUGCAAGAAAUAUAAUGUACUCAAGUAACCUAUGUUUUUUCCAGGAUGUGGUCCACUUUCUCAUUAACAAGCCAUCAAAUGUGUAAUCUAAAUGAAAUAGAGUGUAUUAAUGCUUUUAAAUAACUCACUAAUUACAAGACUUGAUUUCUGUUAUAAUGUUCUGGAAAUGUCUAAUUUAUACUCAGUACCACACUUGAGAACAACUCCAGCUAGAGAUAGAUUUCAAUGACUUCUAUAUGAAAGUAGAAAACUAUAGUUUAGGAUUUUUUGUGGAAUAAAAAAAUUAUGUAAAAACAAAAUCAAAUCUAAAACCUCAUAUAAUUUUACUGCAAUAUUUAUUAUCUUAUACAUGCAAAAAAAUGUUUAAAACUCCAAGCAACUCCUUCCUAUUCUUCUAGUACAGGUCACAGGUCUUCUGUGUUUCGUUGAAUCAAGUAUCUGUUGACAAGCUUAAAAUAGAUUUUUUUGUAAAGGAAGUGCACAGUCUUCAGCAGAAGGAUACACAAGGGGUGUCUAACUCCUUUCACCCAAGAUAUAGUUCUGACUCUAUUAGGCUUGUAUUUUGAAAACCAAGCAACUCCUUGUGGCUAACUUUAACAGCCAGGCGACAGCAUUUAUUCUAGCAGGAAAAAAAAUAGUAUUCUAGCCAGAAAAUCAGUAUAUUCUCUGCGAGUUGAAAGAACAGAAAUGUAGGUGAAAAUCAGAUUAAUACAUGUUGCAACAAAGUCAUGUUUAUAUUUUGUAUUAUCAUUCAAAUAUAUAUUAUUAGAAUAUAUUGAUAUUAGCAUAUAUAUUUCCUUUGCAGUAUACACUUUUUAAUUUGUUCUGUUUCCUCUGUGCUUUUUGCCUUAUAUUUUUUUCUGUCCUAUUUCCUUUCCAAGAAAUACUAUUUACUGCUUAUAUUCUUUUAUCAUUGAGGACAAGUUCAUAUUUUACAGUAAAACUGUUGACAUCUAAAUUUCAAGAUCUUCUGCUCUCUUUUGGUAGGGGGAAGGAACAAACACAGCUAAUUGCUUACCCAAAAAAAAAAUAAAUCCCCCUUUUUUGAUUUUUUGAAGGUUCUAUCAGUUCACAAGCAUCUGUGGAAUAAUUUUUCCUAGAAGAAUUUUCAUUGAGUUUUUCAAGCUACACCCAGCAGCAAAUAGCAAAAUGCAUGUCUGGAAUUUUGUCAUGCCAAUCUGUUGGGCAUGACAAAAUUUUGUGUGAGCUUCCGGGCUAUUCUGCAUUCAGUCUGAUCUUACAGAUGUCUGAUCCCAGUACAAGCUUCCCAGAUUAACCUACAUAUCUCAAGGGACAUCAUAGCCCUGCAACUGCCAUCUUAAUUUCAAACAUUUGUGACAGAUAUUUUGCUUCCUAAAGUAAAAAUUAUUUAAAUAUCUGCUUUAUAGAAAUCAGAAGAAUGAUCUACUUGGAUCUAAUAUUUCAGUUUUUCUAAAUUACUUUUGCCAGUCUAUUAGCAGAAAAAAUUAAAUAUACUGUUAAGUAUUUGAACCUUUGAUGAGGUGUAGCUGCCCUUCUUGCUAAUUUUCUAUAGGUCCUAAUAUCUUUUUAGAUUUAGUCCCAGUAGACAUUCAGUUAAAUUUCAACUUUCUCAGACUUUUAUGCCUGUUUUCCUAGGCCCAAGUAAUUGAUUUUUAAAAUAUUAUGAAUUCACUAUUUUUUUACUGUCCCAUAACCUGUGGGUAUAUCCUUGCAUGUUUAUAAGAUCUGUUUCUACAAAUUACAUUUUAUUUCCAUAUCUUUCUUGUUUUAUAUACUUAAAAAGCUGAGGCUAUUCUGGAUGAUUAAAACAUCCUGUCCAACAUUCACCCAAAAACCCAAAAAAAUUGAAACAAGUCCCAACAAGCUGUUGAUUUAAAACUUUAAUUAGAAUAGCAGAAUUAUUAUCAAAUGAACUAAAAUGAAAAUGAAUGAGUGGCAUCCUUGAGUAUUUAGUAGAACAUGGAACAUUUUACUCCAGCUCUGGUUAUUCCCAACCCAGACCUGUUGCAUCCAUAGUUAAAAUCAAGUGGAUGUUUUGUAACUUAUCUUAACAGGUGUGGUUUCCAAAGAAAGGGGAAACAUAGCUAAAUAAAAACAAAAAUAAAAUAUUGUGCAAAAUACCAUACAUGUAUUGCAACAUAAGAAUAUUAUUUUUAAAUUUUGUGCAUCACUCCUGUUUCUUUUUGCUUCAUCCACACACUGGGAAUCUGGUCACUGAGAUUUAUCCAUCUGCUAUCAGUUGCUCACUAGCACUUUGAAUGAAACCCACUGAAUGGAUCACCAAAUGUUACAGCUGAAUUUCAUCAAACAUUUCCGUAGGACAAAAUAUUUUACAAAAUAUUAAUCAUCUGUUUAAGUUGAUUAAGAUGGCCUGUUUAAAUAAGGAAUAAAUUUACUCCCUCUAGCUGUUGAAAAUAGUGUAAUGAGAAAAUAAAAUUUUGUAUUCUGUUGAUAUGUAAAAUGUAUAUGUUGGAUUUUUCAUUUGCUUUCCCAAUUUGAAGUAGAAAAUUGAUUAUAGAAUGAUUUUAUCUUAUGGCAGUGUUUUGUAGAAAUGAGAGAACAGAAAGUCAAGUGAAUAUCUAAUGCAAACUAAAUUCAUUAAAAAAAAAGUGGAAAAAAUUUAAAAAUUUAUUUCAAUAGGAAAAGUUUAUCAAGAAGAGUUUUCCUGAUUUUAUGAACUUCUGGUGCAAAUUUUAUUCAUCCCCUGAACUCUGUUAGUUUCCUUUCGGUACUUGAAAUGCGAAGUGCCUUACAUAUUUUGCAAGCUGCAGUAACUGACUUUAGUACCAAACUGGGCUAAUUGAGGCUGUUGGCCUUGUUUAAGUGAUUAUCUAUAUAAAGUCCAUAUGAUGCAACACACUUGUAUAAUCCAUUUUGAAUAUUUGCAUCCACUGAGCAACUGCAAUCUAACCAGAAUGAAUACGCAUCAAUUUUUCAGUGUAGGAAAAAAUACUGGCAUUUUUUUAAAGCCCAGGUAUGUGAGGUUUCCUCCCUAUGGAAAUAGGAGUCACACCACAAGUUCUCCUGGGGAAUACCUUCUGGCUGAUACUUUUGAUAAAUUUUUUGUUAACCAUGUAUGCAAGAUCUGUUACUGCAAAACAAGAGGGUAAAAAUUGUCAAAGGCAAGAAUUUAGUCACAUUUAAUUGUAGAACAAACAUGUAAUUUCACCAUAUUCUGAUCAGGCUUCACAAAUUUUGGAGAAACGCUUUGGAUUUCUGUUUUCAGAAACUGCUAUUUAGUAUUCAGAAGGUUGCUCAAUGACACUGCUUUUUUGUGCAUAGAGCUGCACCUUGCUGAUAUUUCAUCUAGGAUUAUGAUAGCUUCCUCCAAAAAAAUAGAAAACCUAAAGAAAUGUAAAUCUGUGGAAUUUGUAAGUGAUUUUUCCACAGUGUCUGUUCCAAUAGAAGAAACCUCUUUUGCUUCUACAAUCAAUAUAAAAAUUAGCAGUUAUUAUAGUAUAUUUACUUAGACUACACAGACUGCAUGUCACCCUGAAAACACAAAAUUUAUUAGAGAGAUCAGAGAAUUACACCACAGUGUUUGUAAACCCUCUGCAGUGAAAAGCACCUCAUCUUGUUCAGGCAUUAUAGGCACAUUGGACCCUCUUAAGAAGAAUGACAGCUAGAACCAAUUUUACUGGAGUUUGUUGAAAUUUAUCUUUGGUCAUGACUGGCUCUUUGUUUUACUCACAGUUUAUCUGUAUGCAAAGUGCACAAAAGAUCAAGAAUGGUAUAUGGCUUCUUACAAGGCAAAGCUAAAAUUGCAAUGCAGAAGUGCAAAUGAGGCUCAUAAAAGCUGUCAUGGAACUACAAACAAUGCAUCCAAACAAAAAAGGUGUUAUAAUCCAGAAAAAUAAUUAAAGGUCCUCAUGAAAUUCCAUACCUGAAAUAAAAGGCUACUGCAAAAGUAGUCUCAGGCUUCAGUUUCCCAAUGUUAACUUUGAAAGUAAUAAUCCGGAAUAACCAAAAACACAAGUAAUAGUCACUUUAAUAUAAGUAUUCCAGUAUAAGACUGUUCUUCUCUCCUCAAGAACCUGUUACAGAUUCUAAGACAGUUUAACUUAGGAAAUGUACAUUUCUGGAAAGCAAAGGGAGUGAGAGAUCACUUAGUAAUGAUGUAAAUAAUGCUGCACCAAUGUAUUUAAUUAGCUGAAGUAUUUCAAAUUUUCAGCUAUUUUGCUAACUAUAUAGAUUACAUGCAGAGUUUAAUUGAAGAUUAGGACAUCGAUAAAAGUGUAUUUGGCCGCAUCAUUUCUGUAACAGGAUCAAUAAAAUUACAUAGUGAGGCAGCAGGGUUCCCUGAGGUACACUGCUGUGUUCAAAUACUAGAACUAUUUAGGACACAUACAUAGCUUAAAUAUCAGCAGGAAAGCACCUCAGACAAUUUCUAAAUUUCUGCUUUUACUGUGUGUUUUGUGAUAUGACGUAAGAUACUCUGUAGGGUUUGCAAUGACAAUUUCCUCCAGUAGAUUUCAAAUUAGUACACAAAAAAGGAGGAAGAAUCUUUUUGUUUUCUUUUUUUCAGAUGUGAAAAUGGGGAAAUGAAAGGUCAGAUACCUUGCUGAAUGUGAGCAGUUAAGAUUUCACCUCAGUUUUUCAGGUGUAUAUUAAUCAAUAAAGAAUAUGUGCAACUUCAGACACAGGGAGAUCCAACCUCCAUUUCCAGAUACACAGGAAAGUUGGAUGGCUGGCUAGCAAAGGAAAUGGAGAGUAAAGCUCAUCAGCAGAGGAAGCAGCUACAGAUACCAUACUCAGCCACAACAAAGGAUCCAAGCCAUCACAGCUUUUGCCACUAGAUUUGUUUUUUUCCAAAACCCAGACUGAUCCUAUUCUGACACUGCUUUACAAAUCCAAUGCAUUUUCAGUCUGUUUUCCCCUCAUUUCCUGCUGUUUAGUUGCACAUUGAAGCUAAUCUGUGCUUUCAAAAGUUGUUAUGUGGUUGACCCAAAUAAUUAUCAGACUAUCUCAGUACCACCAAUCGUUUCAGUUGGUUUUGAAUUUGCUUUGAAAAGUGUGGCUUUCAAAUCUACUCAAGAGACUAUAACUGUUUUUGUCUAUAUUGAGUGGGUUCUGCAGCUAAGUGAGAUGACUUAGCUGCUUGAGUCUCAUAUUUAUAUAGACUUAAUCUCUAAGAAAAUGAAUGAGAGGAAUAAAUCUUAUCAUGAUUUACAUCACCUCAGUGUUGUAAUGGAUUUGAAAAGUUUAAUGAGAAUUUGAUGG